rnacentral:tRNA from 1 species
AAAAAAUUAGUUAACUUAUAACAUAUGCUUGUCAUGCAUAAAUUAUCUUCUAAGAUAUUUUUUA